CCGAUACGACCCCCCCCCUCCAGUCAUUGGGUCUUUUCCGACUUCUCCACCCUUCUAUCCUAUAUCAGGAUGGAGUCCCAUUGCCAAGAUUUUGCAUGAAUGUAUAAUUCAUACCUGCUUAAUAAAUGUUGAAUUCUAAAUUAUUUACAUUUCAAUCCGGCCGAGUUUAAUAAAGAAGAAUUUGUACCUUAAAAUAUCACAGAUAGAAAUUCUCUCUGCAUGGACACAAAUGUGUCAUCAAGGUUCUAAAUCAAGCUCAGCCUCAUGAAAGAAGUGGCACGUCUCCGGUUUGCCUCGUGAUCCUUGUCGUGGGAAAACCUCGAGCUCCAUGUGAACAAACAGCUGUGCAUCCACAACAAGAUGGAGUUUAAAAGUCAAUAUUUACUUCUUUUCCUCCGAGAAAGUGUUUCGCUCUCAGAACUUUGGAGGCUGUCGAGGAGGAACGAGUCACUGUCCCUUUAAAAGGAGGAACGAAGUGACUGUUCUAAUUAUUCAGCUCAAAGCCUCACGGACACGACGCGUAACGUUUGAAUAAUUGAUCAAGAACGAGGAGUUUGGAAGUCGACACGCGUGUGACUGCACACAUGCUGUGUGUGUGUACACGUGUGUGUGUUUACUAAAGGUCAGCUGUGAGGGAAACCUGACAUUCCACUGGUUAUGCAACAGGGGGAGGAACCUUCCUCCAAGUGAAAUCACAUCACUGCGGGUCGCUGAAGACGACCUUUGCUUCUCUUCUUCUUUAAUUGAUUGAUUCUUAGUGGAGCUCUGCAGAAUAAUCAGGGACCAGGAGCACGCCGGCGGCUCUUCCACUUUCACUUCACCCACUUUGGGUGGAGCGACGCAUUCAGCGAACUAGAGCCGAGGCUCAUGGGAGUAACAUGUAGGAGAGGCCUGUGGCCCCCUGUGAGGUGUGGGCAUCACGUGUCCUGGAGGACGACAUAAAGCGAGCGUUAGAUCGCUAAAACGGACAUUAUUACAAACAGACAUCGAACAUCCAAAAUGAUAAAGCUAGUCGCCGUAAUUAAUUGUUAAAGUAAAGCACAUAGAAACGUAGACAUAGAAAAGCACGUUACAUCCUUUUUAAUCCUCAAUUCUAUGGAGGAUUUACCCACAAUCCUCCCUGUCCUUUGGGCCCUACGUGCACCACGUGGUAACAGCAGGUGGCGCAAUUCAGCCGUCAUAAGUAUGUUCCAGGUGUGUGUCUGCAGAGUGAGAUGUUCCUCACAGCCUGUUUGAGAGUCGUAGCUGUAGAAUCAGAGUGCAGAGCGGCACAGAAUCAGCCUGCUGUCGCUCUCCAAGCUUUGGCUUUUUCAAAGUUGUGGCCUUCAGAAACAUCAGCCACAAGAAGGGAGGAAGGAGGGACUGAAGACAUCAAAAGAGGAUCUGCCAAAGAUCUCAGCUAAGAACUGAAGACUCCCUGAAGACUUCUCCAUCCCAAACAUCACCUGGAAAGAGAUGCUGGAGAUGCUGAAUCUCCUCCAGAUCAAAUCGGCCUCCGUCCUGAACUUCUGGUUUGUGCUGCUUAGUCCAGGUGGAGUUUGUUGGAUCAGUCCAGGAGGUAAAGUUCUACUUCUCUUUUGGUUUAUUCUGGUUUUCUACGCUCUCAAUCUCCAGCCGGUGAACAUCGACUGGCUGGUUGAGAGGAGCGAGAGGUCAGGUAUGAUAUAUAUAAUAUAAUAUAACAAUAAUAUAUUACAUUGGUCUUAAAGAUCCUGUGACAUGAACAUCUGUCUCUCUCCUCACGCUGGUGCUGGAGAGCGUGGUCACAUGGCCGUGAUGACAGGAAGUGGGAGGUCCCGUGUUGGUGCCGUGUGCGGCCUCUCGUGACGGAUCAUCAACUAUCUUCUGUGUGUCCUCAUCGCGCGUCCGUCGUCCGUCACCAGAUAUCCAUUUGAAAUGUUGGUCAUCACAAACUGAGAGUUCCGUGUCGUAACCAUGGCAACUGCAGUAGCCAGCAUCCCUCGGCGGUAACCACGGAGUCCCUGCCGUUGCUCUCUGCCUGUUAGCGAACAGAGGAUUCGUGCUGUGAGCGUCCACUGGCCCGUUGCACCAGCGAAGAGGACGGCGUCCUCACGUCGCCGUGGUGACAGGAGAACAGUCACCAACAUGUCCACCGGCUUCUCUGGUGUUCCUCAUUUAUUAUGGAAUCAGAUUGACUAAAUGAAAUCAAACUAAAUCAGAUUACAAAAUGACUUCACAUGAAGUCGACUUCCUGUUCGUAGGAGCCGAUUACGAUGAGCUGUCACUCAGGAGGAAGAAGAGGUGCUGCACGGGGGGGCGCCUGGCGCGGGACGUCCCGCUCUUUCCUCCUUUGUGCUCCUUCAGUGUUCUAUCUGGACCCGGUCGCUCCUGGUGACACCUGCUAACAUCGUUAUUACAGCAGUGGUCACAUUUGACCGACGUCACUGGUCUCGUCCUGAAGUCUAAGGUUGCAUCCACAUCCUCCAGAAACCCAUCUUUGUUUCCUCCACUCCGACACAACAAAGUGUCCCGGCUUCCUCUGGUGAGCUGCUGGAGGUGGAGAACCUCCAGAAUCAGCUGCUGUCAAACACUAUUAUUGACUCUCUGAGAGCAGGAGAACUUCUGUCACGAGCUCCUCUGACGCUCCUUCUUCUCCCUGAAGGACCUCACACGUCUCUACCUGCUCUGAGUGGGCGCGUGUUUGUGCGUUUGCACGGCGGCGUGUGUGUGUCUGCGCGUGUGUGUGUAGGCGGUGGAGAAAGAGAGGCACCAGAUGAAGGCAGUUGGCGACGGCCGCCGAAAGAUGGCAUCUCGUAGGAUGGAGGAGGGGCUUAUUCUCACCUGUGUGGUGGCGGCAUCAGUAGAACGUGACAUGAAUCCAUCGUGUCACGUGUCACGUCGAGGGUCCUGCCAGUCAACGGGGGCGUCGUCAGGUCUCCUCCUUCGUCACGUGAUUUGUCUGGACAAGGUUUUUGGUGUUGUGUGUUUGUGUGUUUGUGUGUUUGCACCAGCCAGCGCUCGAGGGGGGCGGGACGUCAGCGACCAUCAGCACCUCCCACCUGGGCGCUGCCGUCCACAUCAGGGCCGGUGUUUAGAGGACGUCUCGUUCCUGCCAGAUGAGAACUGCAGAUGCUCGGGGUUCUUCAUCAUGGAACAAACCUUGUCACGCCUCACCAAUCGCACUCCGAUCACAUGAUACCGAUGCGUCGUCAAUCAACGAGCAGCAAAACACUCCUGAAGAACUUCAAGAUGAAGCUCCGGCUUGUUGUUGCUGAGUGAAGUCCGUGACCUUCCUCUUCCUCUCUGGAAUCCACUCUGGUCGUUUUGAGGUCAUGUGACGACCUGUUGUUCUAUUACCUGCAGCUUUCUGUCGCGUUGAGCGAGCUCUCUGAUUGGCCAAUGCCCCCCGUGUUACAGCGUCUACCCAGGAGACCGAGCUGGAGCUGAGCGUGGACUUCCUGUCUGUCCCGGCACGUUGUCGUCCCCCUCAGAGACACGGAGACGUUUGGUGUUGUGUUACAACGUCACAGGGAGGUUAAUAAUUCAUCACUGUGUCAAUAUGCAGCUGGUUUCAGUCUCAACUGCAAACUGACCCGUGGUAGUGAGACAUUAUCUGAAUAGAGUGAAUUGGAUAUUUAUUCUAAAAUCACAGAUUGGGGAAUUUAUUUUACAUUAUUAAUAAUAUUACAUUAUUUCAUACACUCUGCACGCUAUCUGCAUAUGACACUGUAAAUGCUGUUUCAUGAUCUAUUAGAGACCUGUCAAUCAGUGUGUAGUCCCGCCCCAAAGCAUCUCCUGCUUUAUGGUCUGUUUGACUCUGCAUGGAGCAUAAUUCACUAAAUGAACAUCAUGUUGUAUUGAAGGAGACUUGAGACCAUAAACUCAUGUUUACACGGUUUACUGAGGGAAUGAAUCCAGAGAGAAGUAGAGUCAUACAUCUGGUUCAGCUUCUGACUUCCUGAAUCAUCGAUGUUGGUUUGGAUCAAUGAAGCCCCCCGCCCCCCGGGGUCAUCGGGCUUGUGAUGGGCCUCCUUGGCUCACUCAGACUGGAUGUGGUUCUGUGGUUUGUAUUUAACAUCAGAGCGAGUGGGCGAGCACCAGCAGGGCCGAAAAGCUCUAAAUGUUUCAGCGCCGACGCCAAAAACCAGGAAACAGUCUCAUCCUUUAUCUCUUUUUUUCAUAUUUCCAUUCACUCCCCUUCACACUGCACACGUCACUUUAACUGUUAUUUUUCACU